rnacentral:rRNA from 1 species
UACGUAGGGUGCAAGCGUUGUCCGGAAUUAUUGGGCGUAAAGAGCUUGUAGGCGGUUUGUCGCGUCUGCUGUGAAAUUUCGGGGCUCAACCCCGAACUUGCAGUGGGUACGGGCAGAUUAGAGUGUGGUAGGGGAGACUGGAAUUCCUGGUGUAGCGGUGAAAUGCGCAGAUAUCAGGAGGAACACCGAUGGCGAAGGCAGGUCUCUGGGCCACUACUGACGCUGAGAAGCGAAAGCAUGGGGAGCGAACAGG